rnacentral:snRNA from 1 species
AGACGCAGGGGCGAUCUGGCUGCGACAUCUGUCACCCCACUGGUCGCCAGGGUUGAUUCGCUGAUCUGGCUGGCUAGGCCGGUGUCCCCUUCCUCCCUCACUGCUCCACGAGUGUCCCUCCCAGAGCUGCGCACUCAGUCAGAGAGGAUGAUCUUCCCCGAUACAGGCGGCACUGUUCAUCGGUCACGGGUAUAUGGUAGCUGUGCUCCCCUGCUAGAACCUCCAAAAUGGAAAUAAACUCCUAGUCAUCAGCUAGCCUUGUAAACCUUUCAAAAAUUAGUAGAAAAUAUGAUAAAAGAAGCAAUGUUCUGAAUGGUU